UAUGUGAUCGUCUCUCGCAUAUCAAUAAGCGGAGGAAAAGAAACUAACAAGGAUUCCCCUAGUAACGGCGAGUGAAGCGGGAAGAGCUCAAAUUUGAAAUCUUAAAGGGUUUCCCUUUACGAAUUGUAGUUUAAAGAAGUGUUUUCUGUUGAGGUUUUGGUAAAAGUUCUUUGGAAUAGGACAUCAUAGAGGGUGAGAAUCCCGUAUUUGACCUUUACUUUCAACUUUGUGAUACACUUUCAAAGAGUCGGAUUGUUUGGGAAUGCAGUCCAAAAUGGGUGGUAAAUUUCAUCUAAAGCUAAAUAUUGGCGAGAGACCGAUAGCGAACAAGUACCGUGAGGGAAAGAUGAAAAGAACUUUGAAAAGAGAGUUAAACAGUACGUGAAAUUGUCAAAAGGGAAGCGUUUGACACCAGUGUUGUUUUUCUGAAAAUCAAUUAAAGAACUGUUUAUGCUAAGCUGUUUAGACUUUAUCAGCUAUACUGUUUAGUUUUGAGCUUUUCUUUAAUGCACUUUUCAGUUAACAAGUCAACAUCAAUUUCUCCUGCUGUAAAAAAGCUUGAGGAAGGUGGCUUGAGAUUCGUCUUAAGUGUUUAUAGCCUCUUGCCUAUGCAGUCGGAGAGAUUGAGGUCUGCAGCGUAGAUCCUUCGGGGCUAAAUGCAUUUGUGCUAAGUUAUAGCAUUUCAUAGACAACUUGUUGACUAUGAUUUGUCUUGUAGCUUACUCGCUUAUGUUAUUUUACCUACGCUUAGGAUGUUGAAGACUCUACAGAGAUA
rnacentral:rRNA from 1 species